rnacentral:rRNA from 1 species
AGCGAACGCUGGCGGCAGGCUUAACACAUGCAAGUCGAGCGGGCACUUCGGUGUCAGCGGCAGACGGGUGAGUAACACGUGGGAACGUACCCUUCGGUUCGGAAUAACGCUGGGAAACUAGCGCUAAUACCGGAUACGCCCUUUUGGGGAAAGGUUUACUGCCGAAGGAUCGGCCCGCGUCUGAUUAGCUAGUUGGUGGGGUAAUGGCCUACCAAGGCGACGAUCAGUAGCUGGUCUGAGGGGAUGAUCAGCCACACUGGGACUGAGACACGGCCCAGACUCCUACGGGAGGCAGCAGUGGGGAAUAUUGGACAAUGGGAGCAAGCCUGAUCCAGCCAUGCCGCGUGAGUGAUGAAGGCCUUAGGGUUGUAAAGCUCUUUUGUCCGGGACGAUAAUGACGGUACCGGAAGAAUAAGCCCCGGCUAACUUCGUG